rnacentral:rRNA from 1 species
UUCUCCUGGAAAACGGGUGGUAAUGCCGGAUGCUCCGACUCCUCGCAUGGGGUGUCGGGAAAGAUUUCAUCGGUAUGGGAUGGGGUCGCGUCCUAUCAGGUAGUCGGCGGGGUAACGGCCCACCGAGCCUACGACGGGUAGCCGGCCUGAGAGGGCGACCGGCCACAUUGGGACUGAGAUACGGCCCAGACUCCUACGGGAGGCAGCAGUGGGGAAUAUUGCACAAUGGGCGCAAGCCUGAUGCAGCGACGCCGCGUGCGGGAUGACGGCCUUCGGGUUGUAAACCGCUUUUGAUCGGGAGCAAGCCUUCGGGUGAGUGUACCUUUCGAAUAAGCACCGGCUAACUACGUGCCAGCAGCCGCGGUAAUACGUAGGGUGCAAGCGUUAUCCGGAAUUAUUGGGCGUAAAGGGCUCGUAGGCGGUUCGUCGCGUCCGGUGUGAAAGUCCAUCGCUUAACGGUGGAUCUGCGCCGGGUACGGGCGGGCUGGAGUGCGGUAGGGGAGACUGGAAUUCCCGGUGUAACGGUGGAAUGUGUAGAUAUCGAAAGAAAACACCAC